AGCGUAGACGGCAAGGCAGGUCUGAUGUGAAAACCCAGGGCUUAACCCUGGGACUGCAUUGGAAACUGUCUGGCUCGAGUGCCGGAGAGGUAAGCGGAAUUCCUAGUGUAGCGGUGAAAUGCGUAGAUAUUAGGAAGAACACCAGUGGCGAAGGCGGCUUACUGGACGGUAACUGACGUUGAGGCUCGAAAGCGUGGGGAGCAAACA
rnacentral:rRNA from 1 species